rnacentral:ncRNA from 1 species
GUUCAUAGCGAUGUCAUUCAUAGCGAUGUCACUUUUUGAUCCUUCUAUGUCGGCUCUUCCUAUCAUUGUGAAGCAAAAUUCACCAAGCGUUGAAUUGUUUCCCACUAAUAAGGAAUGUGAGCUGGGAUUAGACCAUCAUGAGACAGGUU